rnacentral:lncRNA from 1 species
CUAAAUCUCACUUCAUAGGGAGUCUUUAAUAACUCACAAAUCUGAAUCAUAUCUGCCCUGCAUCUCUCAUAGCAUCCUAGCCUUUUUCUUCAGAGUACAGAGCGCAGUAUGUAAUCGGAUUUGCCUGUUCUGGAUAUCUCAUAGAAAUGGAAUGAUAAAACAUGUGGUCCCCUGUGCCUGGCUUUUUUCGCUUAACAUUAAUAUUUUCCAGAGACAUCGGUUAUGCUAUAUGUACAGUUAAUGUUGUGGAAACAAAUGAAACUAAAAGCAGAAAGCAUCUUAAUCCUAGAGACAGUCCUGGAACAAAAGUUCACUAAGACUUUGAAAAGAAGCUGUAAGUAGAUAUCCUUUUAAUUAACAGAUUAUAAUGACUCAAUGGGAAUGAAGCACCUAGUAAUAUAACCAAAACCAACUUAUAGCAACAUUAAUCUGAGAUGUUUCACUAGGUUCCAAAAUCACUGGGAUCCUGAACGGUAAUUAGAUAAUUAAGAUGCAUCUUUUCUUGUUUGUAUUUGGUUGUUAGGUUAAUCUUUCUUGGACAAUAUAUAGUACCUUUAAUGUAUAGAGAUGAUAUAUGGUGUAUUGAGAGGCUGCUGUGUCACUGGAAAUACUCUCUAAGCUGCUUUUAGGUAAAGACUGACCUUUUAUUUUAUAGUUUCAUUUCCUGCUUAGUACUUUUGCCUCACAGGCUGGCCACAGCCUUUUCUCCUCAGAAGAAAUUCAUUUGGCUUACAGUUGCAUCACCAUGAUUCUUACUGGUUCAUAGAUUUUAAUGCACCUUAAGUGCUUUUUGUAUUUUAAUGUCUUGUAGGUUACAGAGUCAAAUAAUGCCAUUUAAGAAAUAAUGGGAAGUUCAACAAAUGGUAUUGGGAAAAUUGGAUAUCCAUAUACAAAAGAAGGAAGUUGGACCGUUACAUUACACCAUAAACAAAAAUUAACUCAAAACAAAUCAAAGCCCUAAACAUAAGAGAUAAAACUCUUAGAAGAAAUCAUAGGACAAAAGCUUCAUGACAUUGGAUUUGGCAAUUAUUUCUUGGAUAUGACACUAAAAGCACAGGUAACAAAAGUAAAACUAGGUAAAUUGUACUACAUCAAAAUUAAAAACUUCUGUGCACCAAAGGACACAAUCAACAGAGUAAAAAACCCUACAACAUGAGAGAAAUUAUUGGCAAAUCAUAUAUCUGAUAAAGGGUCAAUAUUUAGAAUAUAUAAAGAACUCCUACAACUCAAUAACAACAACAAAAAAGAAACCUCAAUUAAAAAAAUGGGCAAAGGUUUGAAUAGGCAUUUCUCCAAAGAUGAUAUACAAAUGGCCAACAAGCA